ACCUGGCUGGCUCAAUUGGAGGAGCGUGUGACUCUUGAUCUUGUGGUUGUGAGUUCCAGCCCCACGUUGGGUG
rnacentral:tRNA from 1 species